UCGGGAAUUUUGGGCAAUGGGCGAAAGCCUGACCCAGCAACGCCGCGUGAAGGAUGAAGUAUUUCGGUAUGUAAACUUCGAAAGAAUAGGAAGAAUAAAUGACGGUACUAUUUAUAAGGUCCGGCUAACUACGUGCCAGCAGCCGCGGUAAUACGUAGGGACCAAGCGUUGUUCGGAUUUACUGGGCGUAAAGGGCGCGUAGGCGGCAAUUCAAGUCAUCUGUGAAAUCUCCGGGCUUAACUCGGAACGGUCAACUGAUACUGUCAAACUAGAGUACAGAAGGGGCAAUCGGAAUUCUUGGUGUAGCGGUGAAAUGCGUAGAUAUCAAGAGGAACACCUGAGGCGAAGGCGGGUUGCUGGGCUGAUACUGACGCUGAAGCGCGAAAGCUAGGGUAGCAAACGGGAUUAGAUACCCUCGUAGUCCCUGAGCGGGCUGGCAAGGCGCAU
rnacentral:rRNA from 1 species